rnacentral:rRNA from 1 species
GACGUAGGGGGCGAGCGUUGUCCGGAUUUAUUGGGCGUAAAGAGCGCGUAGGCGGCCCGGAAAGUCGCAUGUGAAAACCCGGGGCUCAACCCCGGGCCUGCAUCCGAUACUCCCGGGCUGGAGGCAGGUAGGGGAGAUCGGAAUUCCUGGUGUAGCGGUGAAAUGCGCAGAUAUCAGGAGGAACACCGGUGGCGAAGGCGGAUCUCUGGGCCUGUCCUGACGCUGAGGCGCGAAAGCUAGGGGAGCGAACAGG